CGGGGUGGGAGCAUGAUCGCUCCGGCUUUGGCCGGGGAGGAAAGUCCGAACACCGCAGGGCACGGUGGUUCGUAACGCGAACUUCGGGUAACCGAAGGAAAGUGCCACAGAAAAUACACCGCCGAUGGUACGGCUCGUCCGUGCACAGGUAAGGUUGAAAUGGCGAGGUAAGAGCUCACCGCUUGUUCGGUGACGGACAAGGCAGGGUAAACCCCACCGGGUGCAAGACCAAAUAGGGAAGCGUUUGAGGGCUGCCCGUUCAAUGCUUCCGGGUAGGUUGCAAGAGGCGCCGGGUGACCGGCGUCCCAGAUAAAUGAUCAUGAUCCGUUUUGCGGAAACAGAAUUCGGCUUACAUCCCACCCCGUUUU
rnacentral:RNase_P_RNA from 1 species